GACGAACGCUGGCGGCGUGCCUAAUACAUGCAAGUCGGGCGGACCGAACGAGGGCUUGCUCUUGUUUGGUCAGCGGCGGACGGGUGAGUAACACGUGGGCAACCUGCCCGCAAGACCGGGAUAACUCCGGGAAACCGGAGCUAAUACCGGAUAACACCGAAGACCGCAUGGUCUUCGGUUGAAAGGCGGCCUUUGGGCUGUCACUUGCGGAUGGGCCCGCGGCGCAUUAGCUAGUUGGUGAGGUAACGGCUCACCAAGGCGACGAUGCGUAGCCGGCCGGAGAGGGUGACCGGCCACACUGGGACUGAGACACGGCCCAGACUCCUACGGGAGGCAGCAGUAGGGAAUCUUCCGCAAUGGGCGAAAGCCUGACGGAGCGACGCCGCGUGAGCGAAGAAGGCCUUCGGGUUGUAAAGCUCUGUUGUGAGGGACGAAGGAGCGCCGUUCGAAGAGGGCGGCGCGGUGACGGUACCUCACGAGAAAGCCCCGGCUAACUACGUGCCAGCCGCCGCGGUAAGAC
rnacentral:rRNA from 1 species